CCCUUUGAUACUCUGGGCGGUACGCGCGCUACACUGGUUUAUCUAACGUGUAAUUUGGACGAUAGUCUGUAUAAAUCACUAAUAUAAAACCGUGAAUGGGAUAGUUUAUUGCAACUUACAAACUUUAACUAGGAAUCCCUUGUAGAAGUAGUGAAUUAUACUGCUUCGAAUACGUCCCUGCCGAUUGUACACACCGCCCGUCGUUUCUUCCGACUGGUACUCAUUGUGAAUUGCGAGGAGAUUCUGUCAAAUCGUUGUAAAUGCUGGGUAUUGGAGGAAGAAAAAGUCGUAACA
rnacentral:rRNA from 1 species